AUGCGCCCGGUCGGCCAAAUCACUACUUGGGCUGAAUUCAGUGAGGCUUUCCGUGAGCAUCACAUUCCGGAAGGUCUCAUGGAUCGCAAGAGGGAGGAGUUCUGCAACUUCACCCAAGGAAGACUGACUGUGGAUGCAUAUAGUCGUGAAUUUGGGAAUCUGGCACGCUAUGCCCCUGAAGAGGUAUCUACUGACGCUAAGAAGCAGGCAAGGUUCCGCAAGGGACUUAGCCCUGAGCUUCGCCACGAUCUCCGUCUGCACGAGUGCACAUCCUUUCAGAAGUUGGUCAAUAAAGCCAUCAGUGCUGAGACAGGCCAGACUGAUUAUGACGCUUCACGCAAGGACUCCCGUGAUUUUGGCUCUUCAUCCGGCUUUGGAGCUCAGAAGCGCCGGGUGUGGAUUCCAAGCACGGCACUGCCACCCAGGUUCAUCCCGCGGCCAUCCUUUGAGGCGCCUCGUCCCAACCAGCAAUUUGCACUGCCCAAGCCCUAUGGUGGCCCCGCUGCUAAUGCUGCUCCAUGCCCCAAUGUGGUUUCAUGCUUCAAGUGUGGAGAGCCGGGUCACUAUAGCCGAGAGUGUCCCCAGAACAACAACCCCAAUCAAACUGGAAAGUCCGUUGGCUGUGGUAAGCCAGCGGGAAAGACAUUCUACGCCAAGCCGGCCACCACUGCACGUGGCCAUGUCAACUAUGUUUCAGCCGAGGAGGCUCAUGAGGAUCCCAAUGUCGUCCUUGGUACGUUCCUUGUUAACUGCCAUCCGGCAUCUGUUCUUUUCGAUACUGGAGCAUCUCAUUCAUUCAUAUCUGAGAACUAUGCUCGAUUGCAUAACACAACAUUCUGUGACAUGCCCUCUACCAUGGAAAUUCAAACCCCUGGCUCUAGAUGGCAAACUUCUAGAGUAAGCCAUGGGAACGAAAUUCUUGUCGAUAGACUUGUCUUCCUUGCAUCCUUAAUAGCUCUCAAGUCCUCCGACAUAAACAUCAUCUUGGGUAUGGACUGGAUGUCAGCUUAUUAUGCUAAGAUCGAUUGUGCCACUAGAACCGUUCAACUUACUCACCCCUCGGGCAAGACAGUUAAUGUCUUAACUCGAGUGGCCAAGCGCCAACUUUACUCCCUAAAUGCCAACCCCCUUCCAGACCUUGAGGAUGUUCCGGUAGUCCGAGACUUCCCGGAUGUCUUUCCAGAAGAACUGCCAGGUGUUCCACCUGACAGGGAUGUCGAGUUUGUGAUAGACCUUGUUCCAGGAACCGUUCCAAUUUCUAGAAGACCCUACAAGAUGGCACCCUUAGAACUAGCCGAGCUUAAGAACCAACUCGAUGAGUCCUUAAAAAAGGGUUUCAUCCGUCCUAGUUCCUCUCCUUGGGCUUGCCCCAUCCUCUUCGUUAAGAAGAAGGAUGGAACGGAUCGAAUGGUUGUGGACUACCGACCUGUCAACUUGGUCACCAUCAAGAAUAAAUACCCGCUUCCCAGGAUCAACGAUCUGUAUGAUCAGCUCGCUGGAUCCUCAUUCUUCUCCAAGAUGGAUUUGAGGUUGGGUUACCAUCAAAUCAAAAUCAGAAAUGGGGACAUUCCCAAAACGGCCUUUGUUACUCGUUAUGGCCAAUACGAGUACACCGUCAUGUCCUUCGGUUUAACCAAUGCCCCGGCUACCUUCUCUUGGUUAAUGAACUCGGUCUUCAUGGAGUACUUGGAUAAAUUCGUCGUAGCAUACCUCGAUGACAUACUCAUCUACUCCAAUAAUGAAGAGGAACAUGCCGAACAUCUAAGGCUGGUAUUGAUGAAACUUUGA
rnacentral:rRNA from 1 species